rnacentral:rRNA from 1 species
ACCAGACUCCUACGGGAGGCAGCAGUGGGGGAUAUUGCACAAUGGGGGGAACCCUGAUGCAGCGACGCCGCGUGGGUGAAGAAGCGCCUCGGCGCGUAAAGCCCUGUCAGCAGGGAAGAAAAUGACGGUACCUGAAGAAGAAGCCCCGGCUAACUACGUGCCAGCAGCCGCGGUAAUACGUAGGGGGCAAGCGUUAUCCGGAUUUACUGGGUGUAAAGGGGGCGCAGACGGCGAUGCAAGCCAGGAGUGAAAGCCCGGGGCCCAACCCCGGGACUGCUCUUGGAACUGCGUGGCUGGAGUGCAGGAGGGGCAGGCGGAAUUCCUGGUGUAGCGGUGAAAUGCGUAGAUAUCAGGAGGAACACCGGUGGCGAAGGCGGCCUGCUGGACUGCGACUGACGUUGAGGCCCGAAAGCGUGGGGAGCAAACAGGAUUAGAUACCCCGGUAC